rnacentral:rRNA from 1 species
UGGGGGAUAUUGCACAAUGGGGGGAACCCGUGAUGCAGCGACGCCGCGUGGGCGAUGGAGCGCCUCGGCGCGUAAAGCCCUAUCAGCAGGGAAGAAGAUGACGGUACCUGACUAAGAAGCCCCGGCUAAAUACGUGCC